rnacentral:rRNA from 1 species
AUGGCUUUGGUCCAACGGUAUGGGAAACCAGACAUAUUCCUUACAAUGACUUGCAACCCACAUUGGGAAGAGAUAACUAGAGAACUAGCAGAAGGUCAAUCACCACAAGACAGGCCGGACUUGGUAGCACGAGUCUUCAAGGCAAAAUUGGAGGAUUUAAAGGAUCUUUUGUUUAAGAAGAAAUUCUUUGGUGAAGUUGCUGCACAUGUGCACGUAAUUGAAUUUCAGAAAAGAGGUCUA